rnacentral:rRNA from 1 species
GAUGAACGCUAGCGAUAGGCUUAACACAUGCAAGUCGAGGGGCAGCACAAGGUAGCUUGCUAUCUGGGUGGCGACCGGCGCACGGGUGCGUAACGCGUAUGCAACUUGCCCUAUACAGGAGGAUAACCCGUCGAAAGACGGACUAAUACUGCGUAUGCUCACAACUUGGCAUCAAGUGGUGAGGAAAGAAAUUCGGUAUAGGAUAGGCAUGCGUCCCAUUAGCUUGUUGGUGAGGUAACGGCUCACCAAGGCAACGAUGGGUAGGGGAACUGAGAGGUUUAUCCCCCACACUGGUACUGAGACACGGACCAGACUCCUACGGGAGGCAGCAGUGAGGAAUAUUGGUCAAUGGGCGCGAGCCUGAACCAGCCAAGUCGCGUGAAGGAUGGCUGUCUUAUGGAUGGUAAACUUCUUUUAUACGGGAAUAACAAGAGUCACGGGUGACUCCCUGCAUGUACCGUAUGAAUAAGCAUCGGCUAACUCCGUG